AACGAACGCUGGCGGCGUGCCUAACACAUGCAAGUCGAACGAACCCUUCGGGGUUAGUGGCGCACGGGUGCGUAACGCGCGGGAAUCUGCCCUUUGCUUCGGAAUAACAGUUAGAAAUGACUGCUAAUACCGGAUGAUGUCUUCGGACCAAAGAUUUAUCGCCCAAGGAUGAGCCCGCGUAGGAUUAGCUAGUUGGCGGGGUAAAGGCCCACCAAGGCGACGAUCCUUAGCUGGUCUGAGAGGAUGAUCAGCCACACUGGGACUGAGACACGGCCCAGACUCCUACGGGAGGCAGCAGUGGGGAAUAUUGGACAAUGGGCGAAAGCCUGAUCCAGCACUGCCGCGUGAGUGAUGAAGGCCUUAGGGUUGUAAAGCUCUUUUACCCGGGAUGAUAAUGACAGUACCGGGAGAAUAAGCUCCGGCUAACUUCGUGCCAGCAGCCGCCGUAAUAC
rnacentral:rRNA from 1 species